rnacentral:rRNA from 1 species
GACGAACGCUGGCGGCGUGCUUAACACAUGCAAGUCGAACGGAAAGGCCCUGCUUUUGUGGGGUGCUCGAGUGGCGAACGGGUGAGUAACACGUGAGUAACCUGCCCUUGACUUUGGGAUAACUUCAGGAAACUGGGGCUAAUACCGGAUAGGAGCUCCUGCUGCAUGGUGGGGGUUGGAAAGUUUCGGCGGUUGGGGAUGGACUCGCGGCUUAUCAGCUUGUUGGUGGGGUAGUGGCUUACCAAGGCUUCGACGGGUAGCCGGCCUGAGAGGGUGACCGGCCACAUUGGGACUGAGAUACGGCCCAGACUCGUACGGGACGCAGCAGUGGGGAAUAUUGCACAGUGGGCGGGAGCCUGAUGCGGCAACGCCGCGUGCGGGAUGCCGGCCUUCGGGUUGUAAACCACUUUCGCCUGUGACGAAGCGUGAGUGACGGUAAUGGGUAAAGAAGCACCGGCUAACUACGUG